CUUGAACUAUCAAUAGCUUUUUAAAAAUCCUUCUUCAAACUUGUUUCCGUUUCGGCGGAAACCCACCGCCUACGAGCACCUUUGCCCAACCGAACUCCAGCCAUACACCACUGUAACCAUCGCCAUGCUUUGAUUAUACUCGUCGCAGCCGUGAAGCGUCACUACCUUGGUGAAUAUCGUCGUCGUACAACUACCGUAGUCGCCGCCACCAAACUACCCGCCACUCGUAUUCCGUACGGUUCAGUCUGAUUCACGCCACUGGGAGUUACUCGUGUUUCACCGAUCUUGCCUCACUUUCGGAUAUGUUUCUGUUCGACUAUUAAGGUAAUUUGGGAAACGUGGGGAAUACGUGAAGAGUGUCGUGAAGAUAAAGAUGUAUUUUUAUUUCGGUAAUGCUCUCGUAUUUUUGAGGACGACUUGUUUUGUUUUGCGUUUACCUUGCUUGGCUAAAUUAAGGUAAUUUGGGAAACGUGGGGAAUACGUGAAGAGUGUCGUGAAGAUAAAGAUGUAUUUUUAUUUCGGUAAUGUAAUGAA
rnacentral:lncRNA from 1 species